rnacentral:lncRNA from 1 species
GCCUCAAAAACAUAGUACCUAAAAUCUCAGGCCAUUAAGAUAACAUUGGACGUGCUAGAUAACUAAGUAAAAUGUGAUGUAGAUUUAUUUUGAAAAAAAAACUGUUACACAUAGCUGAUUUCAAAAUGGCAUAAGUAUCUCAAAUAAAUCUGAAAAAUAAUGUCACAAGCUUUGUUUGAAAGUUGAGAAUGUGUGUGUUCAGUUUGUGAUGAAUUUGAACAAGUUUCAAUGAAAGAAUCCAUUGAAAUAAAAAAGAACAAACAAUAAAAUAAUAAGAAUUGCAGUAUUUCCUGAUGCAGACUCUCAACUUCGGAAAAUCAUAACUUAAUCUACAAAACUCCUUAUUAAGAGAUUCAAAUUCAGGAAUAAUAUUUAACAUGUGUACUAUAACUUUUAUGAAGACAACAACUUCAAAUACUCAGCUGAAAUGCACAGAUUUUAGUAAAAAGGCAGCUGGGUCAAAAACUCAGAAAACUGAUCUGCAGAAUUUCUUACUGCAGACCCUCAACUUUGAAAAAUCAUAUCUUAAUCUAAACAAUUCCUUUUGAAGUGAUUCAAGUUCUGGAACAAUAUUUAAUAUGUCUGCUACAACUUUUAUGAAGAAACCAACUUCAGAUAACCAAUCUAAAUAUACAGCUUUUCAAACAAAGUGACAGACUCCACCUUCAGAUAACCUAUUUCCACCAACCGUAGAUAAGGGAUUCAUGACUUAAAUAACUCGUACUCCUGUCCAAAUAUGCUAAAAUUAACUCCUUGCAUUCCAUAUCUGAUCUCAACUCUCAAAGUAUAGAUUUUCUUCCUUCCACAAUUCCCUCCUAUGAAUCACUUGCUCAAAAUAAUCUCAAUACUCGAAAAUAUCUCAAAAACUUAUGUACCUAUAACUAUACAUUACCUACCAAAGAAAACUUGAAAAUUGUAAAUCUCUAAACUCAGCCAAAUGAUUAUUGUGGAACAUAACGCAGAUUCUAGAACCUCAAACUAUCCUCAAUAUGCUCAAGUCUACUCCUAAGACAUUCUACUAUUGUGAUCCCCAGUAUUUACCAAAAAUAAACCCUGCUUAUCACAAAAUCUGGAAACAUGUUCCUAGGAGAACCUAAUUUUACUCCUAAUAACCUUGCACAUGGUCUGCAUAAAUAAUACCCAAGUACUUACAGACUAGUUGUGGAAACCCCAUCUCUCAUGCAUAUCUCUGUUAUAAAAGUUUCUCCAAAACUAGUAAAUGUCUCUUCAAAACAACAAUUCUCCAUAACUAGUUUAGUAAGUGAUCUGCCGAAACUACUUCUCAAAAUAUGUACAUUUUGAUCUAUUCUACACCAUCAACAAUGACCUGGAACCUCCGAGUCUACUCUCCAUUACCAAAAUCCUAUGCAAUUAACCUGAUCAUAAUCCAAAUUUGCACAUCCUUCACUUGAUCACCAGAGAACAAUUGCUAAUCUUACAGAAACUAUCUUAAGCAACAAAGCCUAGUAAAGCCUAACUCAUGUAAACAAUAGUAUGUAAUUUAUGCUUUAUAUAAAGAUCACAUAGCUAUUGCCAAUGUCCAUGUCCCUGCAUAGAUAUAGAUAUCCGAAUACAAUUCACAAUCCUAUCCAUAAGCACACAUUUAAUUUUAAACACAAAAGCUAUCAUAUGGUUUAAGACUAUACUUUAAAGCAUACGCCUCAAAACAUAGUACCUAAAAUCUCUGGCCAUUAAGAUAACAUUGGACGUGCUAGUUAACUAAGCAAAAUGUGAUGUUGAAUUAUUUUGAAGAAAAACAGUUACACAUGGCUGAUUUCAAAAUGGCAUAAGUAUCUCAAAUAAAUUUGGAAAAUAAUGUUACAAGCUUUGUUUGAAAGUUGAGAAUGUGUGUGUUCAGUUUGCGAUGAAUUUAAACAAGUUUGAAUGAAAGAAUCCAUUGAAAUCAAAAGGAAAAAACAGUAAAAUAAUAAGAAAUGCAGUAUUUCCUGAUGCAGACUCUCAACUUCGGAAAAUCAUAACUUAAUCUACAAAACUCCUUAUUAAGAGAUUCAAAUUCAGGAAUAAUAUUUAACAUGUGUACGAUAACUUUUAUGAAGACAACAACUUCAAAUACUAACUGAAAUGCACAGAUUUUAGUAAAAAGGCAGCUGGGUCAAAAACUCAGAAAACUGAUCUGCAGAAUUUCUUACUGCAGACCCUCAACUUUGAAAAAUCAUAUCUUAAUCUAAACAAUUCCUUUUGAAGUGAUUCAAGUUCUGGAACAAUAUUUAAUAUUUCUGCUACAACUUUUAUAAAGAAACCAACUUCAGAUAACCAAUCUAAAUAUACAGCUUUUCAAACAAAGUGACAGACUCCACCUUCAGAUAACUUAUUUCCACUAACCGUAGAUAAGGGAUUCAUGACUUAAAUAACUCGUACUCCUGUCCAAAUAUGCUAAUAUUAACUCCUUGCAUUCCAUAUCUGAUCUCAACUCUCAAAGUAUAGAUUUUCUUCCUUCCACAAUUCCCUCCUAUGAAUCACUUGCUCAAAAUAAUCUUAAUACUCGAAAAUAUCUCAAAAACUUAUGUACCUAUAACUAUACUAAUCUACCAAAGAAAACUUGAAAAUUGUAAAUCUCUAAACUCAGCCAAAUGAUAACUGUGGAACAUAACGCAGAUUCUAGAACCUCAAACUAUCCUCAAUAUGCCCAAGUCUACUCCUAAGACUUCCUACUAUUGUGAUCCCAAGUAUUUACCAAAAAUAAACCAUGCUUAUCACAAAAUCUGGAAACAUGUUCCUAGGAGAACCUAAUUUUACUCCUAAUAACCUUGCACAUGGUCUGCAUAAAUAAUACCCAAGUACUUACAGACUAGUUGUGGAAACCCAAUCUCUCAUGCAUAUCUCUGUUAUAAAAGUUUCUCCAAAACUAGUAAAUGUCUCUUCAAAACAACAAUUCUCCAUAACUAGUUUAGUAAGUGAUCUGCCGAAACUACUCAAAAUAUGUACAUUUUGAUCUAUUCUACAACAUCAACAAUGACCUAGAACCUCCGAGUCUACUCUCCAUUACCAAAAUCCUAUGCAAUUAACCUGAUCAUAAUCCAAAUUUGCACAUCCUUCACUUGAUCACCAGAGAACAAUUGCUAAUCUUACAGAAACUAUCUUAAGCAACAAAGCCUAGUAUGUAAACAAUAGUAUGUAAUUCAUGCUUUAUAUAAAGAUCACAUAGCUAUUGCCAAUGUACAUGUCCCUGCAUAGAAAUAGAUAUCAGAAUACAAUUCACAAACCUAUCUAUAAGCACACAUUUAAUUUUAAACACAAAAGCUAUCAUAUGGCUUAAGAACAUACUUUACCUUAAAGCAUACUCCUCAAAAACAUAGUACCUAAAAUCUCAGGCCAUUAAGAAAGCAUUUGACGUGCUAGAUAACUAAGCAAAAUGUGAUGUAGAUUUAUUUUGAAGAAAAACUGUUACACAUGGCUGAUUUCAAAAUCGCAUAAGUAUCUCAAAUAAAUUUGGAAAAUAAUGUCACAAGCUUUGUUUGAAAGUUGACAAUGUGUGUGUUCAGUUUGUGAUGAAUUUAAACAAUUUUGAAUGAAAAAAUCCAUUGAAAUCAAAAGGAACAAACUGUCAAAUAAUAAGAAAUAGUAAUUCCUGAUACAAAACUCCUUAUUAAGAGAUUCAAAUUCAGGAUUAGUAUUUAACAUGUGUACUAUAACUUUUAUAAGGACAACAACUUCAAAUACUCAACUGAAAUGCACAGAUUUUAGUAAAAAGGCAGCUGGGUCAAAAACUCAGAAAACAGAUCUGCAGCUUUUCAAACAAAGUGACAGACUCCACCUUUAGAUAACCUAUUUCCAGUAACCGUAGAUAAGGGAUUUAUGACUUAUAUAACUCUAACUUCUGUCCAAAUAUGCUAAAAUUAACUCCUUGCAUUCCAUUUCUGU